UGAGAUGGACAGGACCAGGAGGUGAUGAUGGGCACCAAGAUGGGUCCAGCAGGAGCAGGAGGACAUGACAGAUGCCAAGAUGGGUCCAGCAGGGCCAAGCAGAGAUGACAGGCACCAAGAUGAGUUGGGCAGGACCAGGAGGUGAUGACGGGCACC